AGUGAACGCUGGCGGCAGGCCUAACACAUGCAAGUCGAGGGGCAGCGCAGUGUAGCAAUACAUGGGCGGCGACCGGCAAACGGGUGCGGAACACGUACAGAACCUUCCUUCGAGCGGGGAAUAGCCCAGAGAAAUUUGGAUUAAUACCCCAUAGUAUAUUAGAGUGGCAUCACUUUAAUAUAAGAUUAUCACUUGAGAUGGCUGUGCGGCUGANAGGUUAGUGGCGGGGUAACGGCCCACCAAGCCAGCGAUCAGUAACUGGUGUGAGAGCACGACCAGUCACACGGGCGACUGAGACACGGGCCCGACUCCUACGGGAGGCAGCAGUAAGGAAUAUUGGUCAAUGGACGCAAGUACUGAACCA
rnacentral:rRNA from 1 species